rnacentral:rRNA from 1 species
UCCUACGGGGCGCAGCAGUGGGGGAUAUUGCACAAUGGGGGAAACCCUGAUGCAGCGACGCCGCGUGUGGGAAGACGGUCCUCUGGAUUGUAAACCACUGUCCCCAGGGACGAAGAUGACGGUACCUGGGGAGGAGGCUCCGGCUAACUACGUGCCAGCAGCCGCGGUAAUACGGAGGAUGCGAGCGUUAUCCGGAUUUAUUGGGUUUAAAGGGUGCGUAGGCGGGCUUUUAAGUCAGCGGUAAAAAUUCGGGGCUCAACCCCGUCCGGCCGUUGAAACUGGGGGCCUUGAGUGGGCGAGAAGAA